rnacentral:rRNA from 1 species
UACGUAGGGGGCUAGCGUUGUCCGGAUUUAUUGGGCGUAAAGAGCGUGUAGGCGGCCAGGUAGGUCUGGUGCGAAAACUCGAGGCUUAACCUCGAGAUGUCAUCGGAAACCAUUUGGCUAGAGUCCGGAAGAGGAGAGUGGAAUUCCUGGUGUAGCGGUGAAAUGCGCAGAUAUCAGGAAGAACACCAAUGGCGAAAGCAGCUCUCUGGGACGGUACUGACGCUGAGACGCGAAAGCGUGGGGAGCGAACAGG